UGCGGAGGGUGCGAGCGUUGUCCGGAAUCACUGGGCGUAAAGGGCGCGUAGGUGGCCUGUGGAAGUCUGCGGUGAAAGCCCGGCGCUCAACGCCGGGUCGGCCGUGGAUACUCUCGGGCUCGAGCUUACUAGAGGCAGAUGGAAUUCCGGGUGUAGCGGUGGAAUGCGUAGAGAUCCGGAAGAACACCGGUGGCGAAGGCGGUCUGCUGGGGUAAUGCUGACACUGAUGCGCGACAGCGUGGGGAGCAAACAGG
rnacentral:rRNA from 1 species